UUUAAACGUUGCACUACGUGACAUUGAAACUGUCUUUCAACAUUCCAAUAUUUCAACUUUCGAAUACCCAAUAUUUGGUUUGUUCAAAGACAUUUUCGAUGUCUAGCAGUGCCAAUGUUUAAA